AGGCCGGAUGAAGCAUUCGGGCGUUGCCUCUGAGGAAGGGUGGGGCUGGCUGUGACGCAGCGUGCCUGCUGCCGCCUGCAGGGGCGCUGUUGCUGGUGCGAUUCUAUCAAGCGCAGAGCCAGCCUAGUAGGCUGAGGCAGAGAAAUGGGUUCUGUAGUCCCAGAGACUCGGUUUCCCCCUCUGGAAAGUGUUUGUUUGUUUGUGACAGGGUCUCAUUCUGCUGGAGUGCAGUGGCGUGAUCUCAUGUCGCUGCAACCUCCGCCUCCCUGGGUUUAAACGAUCCUCCCACCCCAGGCUUCCGAGUAGCUGGGACCACAGGCGCGCCACCACCGCCGGCUAACGUUUACAUUUUUUGUAGAAAUGAAGUCUCUCUGUGCUGCCUGGGUUGAUCUCGAACUCUUGGGCUGAAGCGAUCCUUCCGCCUUGGCCUCCCAAAGUGCUGGGAUUAGAGGUGUGAGCCACUGCACUGCUGAAAACCAUCUGGGCCUCUACUGUGCAAGAGAAACAAGUUUCCACCCUGUGUGUCCUGCGCCAGCUCAGGUCUGCGCUCACUGCACUCUGCUGUGUCACUGAGUCAACUCAAGCAACCCACUUCCUCAUUCAGGCUUCAGUCUACUUGCCUAUAAAACAGGGACAAUGAUCCCUGCCUAGUGAACACUGCAAGAGUCAUGCUUGGGGCUUCUUGGACUGCAUAGGCAGCUUCAAUCUGAUGAUUGUGGCCCCCUGGCCUCAACAGAAUUCAUCUUGGACCCCCCUUUUAACCCCAAACCCCCAUUCCUCCUUGCUGUCAGCUGCUUGUGAGCCUUCUCACAUCCAGAGAAUGUAUCAGCAUUCUACAGACCGAAAAGACCCAAAGGAACAAGGCUCUAAUGGCAAAAUUCCAACUAGAAUGACAAAUAAAUGGGGAGCCAUGUGAAAGCAAGAGAGUCCUGCUCAACACCCCCCCAAGCCUUCCUCAGUCACCUCAGACCAGCCACUCACCUCCAUCCUCCCAGCACCACCUGUGACCAGCCCCUUGCCCCCUGCAAAUUGGAGCAUGACUGGAUCUUGAGAUGGGGGAAAAUGCUUCAUCAUGUUCUGCUUCUUCAUGCAAAACCAGAAACUCCCUCCCCCUCUUCCCUCCUCCCCAGCGCACUCUCCUUCCAGUAAAACGUGGUUAAAGGGACAGCACCAUCACUUUCCCAGCUCUGAGGGUAUGCUUAGAACCAGGAGGCUGGGAAGGAGACAGAGGGUAAAGAGAAAGGAACUGGCAGAGCUCUUUCCUGGGGGAUCUGUCUGUUCUGUCCUGGGGAUCCUGGAGCAGGAAAGCUGGGUAAAGUGGGGGUGUAGUGGGGGUUGAGAUACUGCCCGCGGGAGGUUUGGAGUGGGAGCAGGGGUCUACAAACUCUCAAGGGGGUCUCAAGGCUCCCGACAUCCCCAGGGGUCCUUUUGCAGGGGUCCCUACGCAAAAGGAGGAGAGCCCAAAUGUGCGUGGGAGAACAUCACAGAAAACAGGGAACUGGACCCCUACGGGCAGUCCAGGGAGGGGUGCCUAGCUCACUGUGUGACCCUGCUGAAUCACUACUUCCCCUCUCAGGUCCCCAAAGCACAGUGUGCCUCCCUCCACUCCCGUUAAGGUUAAACUCCCAGCACCAGAGAACAGCCCCUGUCCCCGGUGCUGAAGCACCAGCCGCAGCGGCCACCCCCACUCCAAGGCAUAAAACACGAGCCAAAACCAAUAAAAAGCCAAA